rnacentral:ncRNA from 2 species
AAAAGGCAAUCUGGAGAGCGCCGGCAUUGAGUUGGCCACCGAAGGGGCAGACGGAAUAGAGAAACAGAUAUUCCGUAAUCUCUCAGGUAAAAAGGACAGAGGGGUGAAG